UGGGGAAUAUUGCACAAUGGGGGAAACCCUGAUGCAGCGACGCCGCGUGAGCGUUGAAGUAUUUCGGUAUGUAAAGCUCUAUCAGCAGGGAAGAAAAUGACGGUACCUGACUAAGAAGCCCCGGCUAACUACGUGCCAGCAGCCGCGGUAAUACGUAGGGGCAAGCGUUAUCCGGAUUUACUGGGUGUAAAGGGAGCGUAGACGGAGAGGCAAGUCUGGAGUGAAAAACCCGGGGCUCAACCCCGGGACUGCUUUGGAAACUGUUUUUCUAGAGUGUCGGAGAGGUAAGUGGAAUUCCUAGUGUAGCGGUGAAAUGCGUAGAUAUUAGGAGGAACACCGGUGGCGAAGGCGGCCUUCUGGGCCAUCACUGACGCUGAGGCGCGAAAGCUAGGGGAGCAAACAGGAUUAGAUACCC
rnacentral:rRNA from 1 species